rnacentral:rRNA from 1 species
UACAGAGGGUGCGAGCGUUAAUCGGAAUUACUGGGCGUAAAGCGAGCGUAGUCGGUUAUUUAAGUCGGGUGUGAAAUCCCCGGGCUCAACCUGGGAAUUGCAUUCGAUACUGGAUAGCUAGAGUUCGGCAGAGGGAAGCGGAAUUUCCGGUGUAGCGGUGGAAAUGCGUAGAUAUCGGAAGAACAUCAGUGGCGAAAGCGGCUUCCUGGACCAGAACUGACGAUCAGCUCGAAAGCGUGGGAGCAACAGGAUAG